rnacentral:rRNA from 1 species
GCCCUUCGCGGCGCUGCAGAGUUUGAUCCUGGCUCAGAAUCAACGCUGGCGGCGCGCUUAACACAUGCAAGUCGCACGAGAAAGGGGAGCAAUCCCUGAGUAAAGUGGCGCACGGGUGAGUAACACGUGGGUUAUCCGCCCUCUGGUGGGGAAUAACCCUGGGAAACCGGGGCUAAUACCGCAUAAGUCCGAGAGGAGAAAGCCGAAAGGCGCCAGAGGAGGAGCCCGCGGCCGAUUAGCUAGUUGGUGAGGUAAUGGCUCACCAGGGCGACGAUCGGUAGCCGGCCUGAGAGGGCACACGGCCACACUGGCACUGAAACACGGGCCAGACUUCUACGGGAGGGAGGAGUGGGGAAUUUUGCACAAUGGGGGAAACCUGAUGCAGCGACGGCGGGUGAGGAUGAAGCCCUCGGGGUGUAAAGCUCUUUCGGCAGGGACGAUGAUGACGGUACCUGCAGAAGAAGCUGCGGCUAACUACGUGCCAGCAGCCGCGGUAAUACGUAGGCAGCAAGCGUUGUUCGGAAUUACUGGGCGUAAAGCGUGCGUAGGCGGUUGGCUAAGUUUGGUGUGAAAUCUCCCGGCUCAACUGGGAGGGUGCGCGGAAAACUGGCCGGCUAGAGUGCGGGAGAGGGCAGUGGAAUUC